AUGUCAUCGAUCGUCGGCGCCGGCGCCAGCACGGUCUCGUCGGACGACUGCACCGCAGAAAGUCUGUUAGACCUUCGCCCUCGUCCCCAUCUCAGGCAUCCAGCCAUGCAGAUGCAGGAUCCGCCGCCGGCAGGGGAAACCCAAGACCAUGUCUGCAAACAAGAAGGAUCACCCUGCCAACAAGAUGAUGGUUCUCAAGAUGGCGGAGUUAUACCGGACCUUCCAGAGGAUAUCCGUCGACAUAUUCAUGCCCUAUUACCACUGCGGGAUGCUGCCCGUGCAGCUUGUGCAUCACACUCAUUUCUGAGAUCAUGGAGAUGCCAUCCCAACCUAAUCUUAACUCACAAAGCCCUAGGUUUGGAUGGAGAUCUCAUCAGCAAAGUUGACAAUAUUCUUAAAAAUCACUCGGGCAUUGGCAUGAAGAAACUAAGGCUUGAACUUUAUGGUAACAAGGUCGAUUCCUUUUAUGUUGAUAGGUGGAUUCAUAUUGCUGUUACAGCACGAGUUGAAGAACUCGCCAUUGUUAUGCCGCAUAUUCCUGGGGAAGAAGAAUACAAUUUCCCAUGCUCACUUUUAUUUAAUGGGGGUGAAAACUCAAUUCGGUAUCUUUACAUUGCCAUGUGUGCCUUUCGUCCCACGGCUGGGCUUGGUUGCUGGAGAAAAUUGACAAGGUUAUUUCUAAGUAAUGUAUGGAUUGCUGAUGAUGAGCUAGAGGGCCUUCUUUCCAAUUGUACUGCAAUUCAACAUUUGGAACUCAAGAAUUGCAGUGAGAUAGUUUGCCUGAAGAUACCUUUGCUGGAGUGCCUUACGUUCCUGAGAGUGUCUCUAUGCAUAAAUCUGCAAUUUAUAGAGAGCGAUGCUCCAAACCUCUCCACCUUUUCCCUGUUUGGUGGCUUAGUAUCAAUUCUAUUUGGAAGUGAUGUAAAGAAUAAAGAAGUGUCGUGCUUAAAAUUCGGCCCGCCCAACAUUGUCCGGUUUGCUCGGACCGAGCUUCUGUCCGGUGCGCCAGAUGUUGAAAGACUUGUCAUAACCUCGCCUAAUGAGAUGGAAAGUACACCAAUGCUAUCUAGCAAAUUUCUCCACCUCAAGUACUUGCAUAUUUCUCUAAUCGGAAAACAAGCUAUUUCACCAGCUUAUGAUUACCUUUCUCUGGUUUCUUUUCUUGAAGCUUCUCCUUGCCUGGAGACUUUCAUCUUUGAGGUACAGCAGCCUGACAUGAAGCAUGAUUCUAUUAUCGGGGAUUCCUCGCCACUGAGACGGCUACCACAACACAGCCACAACAACCUAAAGAGUGUGACGAUCAUCGGCUUCUGCUCGGCAAAGAGCUUGGUCGAGUUGGCAUGCCACAUUAUUGAGAACGCGACAUUGCUUGAGCGCCUCACUUUGGACACCUCCCAUGGCUGUCGGAGUCCUGGUGGGCGUAGCGUUGAUAAACCUGACAGAUGGUACUAUACAGUGAGUGGUAGCCUCAUGGUGGCCCCACCUGACAGGUGCCUCCCUAUGUGGGGUCGUGGCAUCGAGGAGUCUCUCAGGGCGCGUUCCGCAAUCAGAAAACACAUUGAGUGGAAACUUCCCUUCGGAGUCGUGUUUAAAAUCGUCAUGCCCUGCAGUCGGUGCUUGAUGCCGAAAUUUUAG
rnacentral:rRNA from 1 species